rnacentral:tRNA from 1 species
GCGUCGGUGGUUCAGUGGUAGGACACUGGCCAACCAAGCUAAUGAUCCAGGUUUCGAUCCCCGGCCGACGCG